rnacentral:rRNA from 1 species
UACGUAGGGUGCGAGCGUUGUCCGGAAUUAUUGGGCGUAAAGAGCUCGUAGGCGGCCUGUUGCGUCGGUUGUGAAAGCCCGGGGCUUAACCCCGGGUCUGCAGUCGAUACGGGCAGGCUAGAGUUCGGUAGGGGAGAUCGGAAUUCCUGGUGUAGCGGUGAAAUGCGCAGAUAUCAGGAGGAACACCGGUGGCGAAGGCAGAUCUCUGGGCCGUAACUGACGCUGAGGAGCGAAAGCAUGGGGAGCGAACAGG